AGCUCCAAUAUCGAAUAUUAAAGUUGUUGCGGCCAACAAGCGCGUAGUUGGAUUUCUGCCGAGAUCGACCGGCCCGCCCUGCGGGUGAGUAUCUGGGACGACCUGGGCAUCUUCUUGGAGAACGUGUCUGCACUUGACUGUGUGGUGCGGUAUCCAGGAGUUUUACGUUGAGUGAAUUAAAGUGUUUCAAGCAGGCCCACGCCUUGAAUACAUUAGCAUGGAAUAAUAAUAUAGGACAUCGGUUUUAUUUUGUUGGUUUCUAGAGCUGAGGUAAUGAUUAAUAGGGAUAGUUUGGCGGAUUCGUAUUUAACGGUCAGAGGUGAAAUUCCUGGAUUUGUUAGAGACGGAUUACGUCGAAAUAAGUUGCAAAUGAUGUUUCCAUUA
rnacentral:rRNA from 1 species